rnacentral:rRNA from 1 species
GGAACUCUGAGACAGGUGCUGCAUGGCUGUCGUCAGCUCGUGUUGUGAAAUGUUGGGUUAAGUCCCGCAACGAGCGCAACCCUUAUCCUUGUUUGCCAGCGAGUAAUGUCGGGAACUCCAGGGAGACUGCCGGUGAUAAACCGGAGGAAGGUGGGGACGACGUCAAGUCAUCAUGGCCCUUACGAGUAGGGCUACACACGUGCUACAAUGGCGCAUACAGAGGGCGGCCAACUUGCGAAAGUGAGCGAAUCCCAAAAAGUGCGUCGUAGUCCGGAUUGGAGUCUGCAACUCGACUCCAUGAAGUCGGAAUCGCUAGUAAUCGUGGAUCAGAAUGCCACGGUGAAUACGUUCCCGGGCCUUGUACACACCGCCCGUCACACCAUGGGAGUGGGCUGCAAAAGAAGUAGGUAGUUUAACCUUCGGGGGGACGCUUACCACUUUGUGGUUCAUGACUGGGGUGAAGUCGUAACAAGGUAGCGCUAGGGGAACC